rnacentral:rRNA from 1 species
CCUACGGGAGGCAGCAGUGAGGAAUAUUGGUCAAUGGACGCAAGUCUGAACCAGCCAUGCCGCGUGCAGGAAGACGGCUCUAUGAGUUGUAAACUGCUUUUGUACGAGGGUAAACGCAGAUACGCGUAUCUGUCUGAAAGUAUCGUACGAAUAAGGAUCGGCUAACUCCGUGCCAGCAGCCGCGGUAAUACGGAGGAUUCAAGCGUUAUCCGGAUUUAUUGGGUUUAAAGGGUGCGUAGGCGGUCGGAUAAGUUAGAGGUGAAAACCCGAGGCUCAACUUCGGAAUUGCCUCUGAUACUGUUCGGCUAGAGAGUAGGUGCGGUAGGCGGAAUGUAUGGUGUAGCGGUGAAAUGCUUAGAGAUCAUACAGAACACCGAUUGCGAAGGCAGCUUACCAAGCUACUUCUGACGUUGAGGCACGAAAGCGUGGGGAGCAAACAGGAUUAGAUACCCCUGUAGUC